rnacentral:SRP_RNA from 1 species
GCCAGGCGCAGAGGCACGCGCCUGUAGUCCCAGCUACUCGGGAGGCUGAGGCAGGAGGAUCGCUUGAGCCCAGGAGUUCUGGGCUGUAGUGCACUAUGCCGAUUGGGUGUCCGCACUAAGUUUGGCAUCAAUAUGGUGACCUCCCGGGAGCGGGGGACCACCAGGUUGCCUAAGGAGGGGUGAACCAGCCCAGGUCGGAAACGGAGCAGGUCAAGAAAAUACUAGCAAACUGAUCCAAUAAUCCAUAUUAAAAAGAUUAUAUACCAUGACCAAAUAGGAUUUAUGCCAG